CUGAAAGUCACAUCCUUAAGAAAUAAAAAAUCCAAAGACCUUGAACAUAUUUAUUGUCUUUAAAGCAGCUUCUGAAUUAUUGAAUUCAACAGUUCAUGUUUCUUAUUUACAACAGCUGUGCUCAGUUCUGAGAGCUCUUCAUUUCUAAUGAUCGCUGGACUAAUUUCUGGAAUCACAUUUAUUUUCCUCCUGCUCUUGCUGUGUUGCUGCAUGAAGUCCAAAGUGUUUAAUAAAGGUUCAGCUGAUGACCAGAGGGUGAGUCAGGAUGAAGAUCAGCAGCAGGUGAUCGUUGUGUCUAUGAGACAAUCAGAGGCUCUAAAAACACUGAGACUGGUCAAAUAGAAGGUGAUUCAUGUGUGAUUCAGCUCAAAGUGAUUAACAAGACACAGCCCCGUGGUGACCCAGAGGAGAGCUCUGACUAUUAUAAUGUCAAUCCAAAUUCAACCCCAGGUCCAUAAAGAGCAGCUCACCAUCAACAGAAUGAGGAAAGUGACUGAUGACAACAGCUUCUGUUGAGGAGACAAUAUGACAGGUUUUACAUCACAUUAUAGCCAAACGUCUAAAAUAUUUUUAAAAUUGUUUUCUGUUGAUAUAUUUUCUGUUUAAUUUUUCUCUUUGAUUUCCUCCCUGACACUGUGGUAUCAGUUUGUUAGAAAUAAUAUUAAAUGGUAUAAUGUACACUUAGUUUAGCAGAAAUGUGUAUUACCAUUUAGUAUCCAUGUUAUCUGGGAGCAUUUAUAGCUUUUAUAGAAAAUAUAUAAAAUGCAGCUACAAGACAUUUGAAACACUUGAUGUUUAGCAGCUAAUAAUCUGAUUUUAAAUUCAGCUUUUGCUGUGUCACAUGCAGGUAACAGUGAAUAUUAUUGCUGUAUGUGAUCUCCUACAUUAUGUCAGACUUAAUGAUGCAACACAUGCUGUAUGGAUUUGAAUGUAUCAGUGAAUGUAUUUUGUAUGUGUGUGUUUUCUCUGGAGUUUUUUAUUUCUAGCUAUGAGCUGUAUUUCUGUUGUAUCCUACAUCAUGUUUGUAAAAUAAAACUCAGAACCAAAGGUUUAUAUUAAGCUUUUAUUUAAAUUAUGCACUAUGAACACAGACAAUUAUAAUUAUAUUGAAGCUUAAUCUACAGCUUUAUUGGUUCCUUUAAUUGCUGCUAAUUUUAUUCAUUUUGAUAUUUGAUAUUUUGUGUUAAAGUGUAACAGGACAAGCAGCAAAGUCAGCUUUUUGUCACAUUUCUACUUUUCGUCCUCCUCUUCUUCUUUCGUCUUCAACAACUGUGCUGUAAAAACUUCCAAACUUUG
ensembl:lncRNA